rnacentral:lncRNA from 1 species
CCCUCCAAGUAGUUAAAGCCAAAGAAUUUUAUUAUAGGAUCUUAAGUGGAUUUUUAAUUUUAUUAUAUGUAUAAUUUUAUUAUAGGAUCUUAAGUGGAUCUUAUAGUGGCUUAAGUGGCUGUUGGGAGGCCUGAAGGAAAUGGACAUAACAACCUCUCAACAUCUACUAAGAUAUUAUCCAGACACAAGGUGUCUACUAAUGUUGUUGCCAGAAAGUCAAUAUCUCUAUUAUGGACUUGCCUAUAGUAGAACUGAGCCCACUGCCACAUUUUUGCCUUUAAAUCUUACCCAGGGCCAUUCAUUUGUUGAAACUUAAACCAUAAAGAGAACUUAAGCUAUAAAAGAAUCCUAGAAAUGUUUUCAGCUUUCUAGGCAAAAUGGAGAAGUUUAGGAUGAAUAUAGAAAGCUAGGGUAUCAUAUUUAUAGCCCCUUCCGACAUUGGGUUACUUCUCCUUUCCUUUGGUUGAAUUGGUUUACUAAUUUAUUGGUUCAUUCAUUCAUUUACUCAUUCGUUCCACAACACUUGACAUUUCAUUUAUAUUACUAGAAUUUGUUUUACCAAAAAUUUCUUCGAUGGCAAGGCCUUUGUUUCAGUUUAUAUCACCAGAGCAUGUUACAUCCAUAGUAGGGGAUCAACUAAUACUCAGUUUUAUUGAAUUUUUGAUAGUUCAAAGUAGACUGUCAAACAUUUACUUCUACUUUCUCUAGAUUUAAAAAUAAAAGUAGACAUUUCAUAACAGAUGCUUUCUUUCUUAUUCUUUUUUUUUUUUUUUGUCUUUUUUUGCCUUUUCUAGAGCCGCUCCAGUGGCAUAUGGAGAUUCCCAGGCUAGGGGUCUAAUCGGAGCUGCAGCCACCGGGCUACGCCAGCCAGAGCCACAGCAACGCAGGAUCUGAGCCACGUCUGUGACCUACACCACAACUCAAGGCAAUGUCAGAUCCUUAACCCACUGAGAAAGGCCAGGGAUUGAACCCGCAACCUCAUGGUUCCUAGUCGGAUUCGUUAACCACCGAGCCACGACGGGAACUCCAUCAUUCACGUAUUCUUAAAAGACAAGCGAUAAAUCCACCUAGAAGUCUGCCUGUAAACACAGCUUCUCCUUUUGUGUCCUUAUGUUAUUUUUUUUUGCUUGUUCUCAGAUUUCUGCUUUUAGCUAUUCAGAUGGAGGGCUGGUAAAUGCAAAUUUAUAUUAUCUAGGUAGAACUUUGCUUCCCAAGAGAAGCAAAAGGCAGUUUGAAUACAGAACUUUCCCGAGGAAGAUCUUCGUGCAGGAAAGAGAAAGCGGGUCUUUGUGCAGUUUCUUCUAUAUUUGGUGAAGCUGGUGCACCAAGAUAAAGUGCUCUGGUCUUUCUGCACAACCUGCUGGCCAGGUGUACUAUGAAGCUCCUCCUGUGCCUCCUCCUGGCAUGGGGUGCCUCCUUGUCAUGCAAGAUCCAUGCCCAAGGUUGACCAGUAAAAUACAGAAUGUCCAAUUAACUUCUUAAUGUAAGAUGACAAACAUGUUACUAGUUUAAGUAUGUACCAAAGUACAUAGGAAAAUGCAAUUGCAGUAAAAUAUUUUUCAUUGAUCAUCUGAAAGACAAAUGCUCCUGAGCAUCCCGUAUUUUUUGUUUAUUUAUUUGCCACAUCUGGCAAACCUAACCAUGCCACACCCAGUGGAAUUCUGUGUAUCAUUGAAAAGCCAACAUAGCUAAUGGCACUGUUAACUUUCAAGGAGGCCGUAUAAAAUUAUAUAUGAAGACACCACCUCAAGUCAAAUUGCCAGACUGUAUAUACAUCUUGAUUCCUUCACUUAUCAUUUUACUUUGGAUAAGUUGCUGUGCUUUACUUACCUAAUAAAUCUGUCUAAUAAGUGUAGCUACUGCCCAGGUCAAUAGGAGCAUUAAAUGUGAAGAUUUAUCUUAAGCAUUUAGAAGAGCACCUGGCAUAUAAUAAACUCUCCAUAACAAUUAAAUAUGGUUAUUAUUUCUGCUGAGAAAACAAGGAAAUUCCAGGCCUCUCCCACACAACUAAGUGGAAAUGCAUUUCUUCUAAAACAGUAAAAAUGAUACCAAAUUUAAACUCUCCAUCUACCCCAUAGAUUCUCCUUGCCCCCAAUGUUCAUGCUUCCAAUUAAAAAGGUGACAGGGGUCUGCCAGCCCAUCCUCUGAUUGCUUCCUGAGAGUCUGAACCAUUUUCUCCAGAGAGAAAUUUUGAACAAGGCUUCGGUGCCUUGUCAUUUCAUCUGCACUAAAUCUAGCAGAAAUACGCUGCUAUUUCUGACAAUGGAAAUGAUAACCCUUCUCUGGUCCUUUAACUGAUGCAGAUUAGUGUCUAUUUUUAUAUUCCUUUGGUCAUUUCAGGAGACAUGUAACAGGAUGGAAAUUAGACCCCUGGACUCAAGUCGUCAGCUUUCUCAGUAUUCCAAAGCAUAAGCAGAACCUUCAUUUUGUUUUAAUCACUUGACUGUAUUGAUACUUAAUAACUCAUAUGAUACUUAAAAUUCAGAGAGACAACGGUGGAGAAAAGAUCUUUCAGCGUAAUAAGGAAUAAAGGAACUUAUCUUAGAAAAAAGUGACAAUGAAGGAAGAAAUCCUGACCUUCAGUUUUAUUAAUAAUAAUAAUUAUUAUAUUAUUAUCAUAUUAUUUAUCUAUAAAAAAUAUUUGACAAGAAAUUGUAGUUCUCCUGUGAAGAUCAAGAAACAUCCUGAUUUACAGCUAUAAAUAAUACUUCUGAAAUUGUAGCAAUCCAUUAAAGGAAAAAGUAAGAGCAAGGUGUUCCCAAGCACUGUUCCUUUCACAGAUACACAGUCCUUAGAAAUUUCAAAAAGAGCUACUUAUUUGCAAGUGUAUAAUUUCUGAAUUUUGAGAACUAUAUUCUAGAGGAUCGUUUUUCGCAGCCCGAAGAAUGAGCUGAAUCCAAUGAAGGAAAGCAAAGGUUAACUGAGUUAUCCAGUAGCAUCUUCUGUCAGGAAAGAAAAAAAGAUAAAAGCCUCUAGACUUCAUGGGGAAAGAUGACUAUACCACACGAGUUCUAAGCCACAUGAUCAGGACAAGUGAGUUACAAUACAGAAAAAGACUAAGGUAAGACAAGUAGAGCAUCUUUGUGUCAGUAAAGGGUGUACUAACAAGAAAAAUCUGAGCUCGAAUUAUGAGGCUCAAGAGAAAAAGCAGUGGGUUUUUUUGAUGGUGGGAAGAGUGUGGCAAGUGUCUUUUUCACUGAAAGGUUAGUUUUGGCCCUUACACCUCUUAGUGUUGCUUCAGCUGUACAAUGUCUUUGUCAAACCUAGGCUCUUCAUUCUAAUAAUUAAAAGAGACCAGAAAGCAUUGCUUAUCCUGGAUUCACUCACUUCUCUGUUAUAAACAUAGAGAAAUAAGCCUUUUGGGAGAGCUCAGUAUGUUUUCUGAUGAACUAGAAACCACAGUGGGAUUUCAACACUCAAUUUUAGCCCUAGGUUAAGUCAGGGAAUGUAGUGUCUCAAAAUUAGAAUAAAAUAAAGAACUCAUUAAAGACAUGUUAUAACCAUGAGCAUUGAGUCUUGGAUAAGACUUUGAAAGAAAGUGAUAAUAAAUUACACUUCCACUGUAUCAAGAAAUAUGUGAUGAUUUCUGCCUGAGACACUAUCAUGUAAGUAAACCUGGUGACUAUCUAUGUAUAAAAAUCAGCGAUCACAUUUAUUUAUUUGUUUAUUUAUUUGCAUCAAAACUAGAAAGUCUGUUUCAUUACUAGAAAUUAUUUUAUAUUCCUGGUAGCUGCAACAGCAUGGGCCUUGAAGAUACUAGAGACUCAUUCUUAUUAAGACAUUAGCUGAUACAUUUAGAAAAUUUUUUAGCUGCAAAAAUAACAGGAGGCCAACUGCUUAACAAUAAAAAACAAUUGAAAAGAACACUAAACAUGUAUUAUUUCUCUGUAAUCUCAAAAUUUAUAGGUUGUAGAUGAUGGAAAUCAACUCUAGCUGAUUUAAGAAAAAAUUUUCGAAUAGAUGGCUCCCAAAAUCUCUGCACCGAUCCGAGAAACAGGUGCAGAGGUUUGCAGCCAAGGAUGAAACUAAAAUCAUCUUGCAAACCUUGUCCCAUGAAAACACCACUGUUGAGACCCUUGGGCAUGGACAGACCAGCUUUCACCACUGGCACUACCAAAGCAGAACCUGAGACAUUGGUGUUGGCAAUGCUGCCCAGCUGCCUCUGGAAAGUGGACAUAGCUACUGCUGGUGGACUACCCUCACUUGAAGUGUUUCCUCCUGGUCCAUGCUCUUUCAUAUCACAAGCUCCUGUUAAGAUAGGGCAGAGUCUAGUUUGCGAGAAAAAAUGGGAAAGUGGCAACUUUGGUUUUAUAAUGUAAGGUUGACUUUACGUAAUAGUGAGGAGGCAUCCUAGCACAGAAAGAGGAUUGGAUUGUUGGAUAGUCAAAAAGAAAGACAAAUGUCCAUUGCUCCCACAGAAUCAGAAGUCCAGUUAUUGAGUUCUAGAUUGAUGAUUUAUUAGCUCUGUGCUGUAAGAACCUAGAUUUUUCCUGUCUCUUCCCUCUGCAGUCCUCAGUAAGUUGACCUUUGGUUUUUGCUUUUUUUUUUUCUUUUCUUUUCAAGUUGUAUUUCUUCAUUUGCUUAUGUUUCCUAAGGCAGCUGCAGAAUUUCUAAAUCAGUAUGUAUUCCAGGCUCAGAGAAUAGUGCCAGGAAGAAAACUGUCUGGGCUUAAAGGUAUGAAGUUUUCUAGAUGGGUUGCAUCAAGAGAGACAUUUGAUAUACUUGAAAGACAUUCACUUAAAAGUGCCAGCCCUGGGAGUGAGCGAGAGAGAUGUAAAAUCUCCAAAGAUAAAAUUGUGUUUCUUUUAUUACUGUUUGAGCCCCAGGGGAACAAUAACAAGAAAUCUGCAGAAGCCCUGAGGACUACUUAUUGAUAUGAAGGAAUUCUUGAAGAGGGUUCUCACCAAAAGGAAGGUGGAGAAAGGGAUCAAUGAUUUCAUGAUCUAUUAUUGCUACGUUUACAAUUAUCCUAAAGGGCUCCAACAUGUACCCCACCAAAAUGAUCCAAACCCAUUACUAACAUACCAAUAUUAUAACUUUAUCCUUUUGGUCUUAAAAAAAUAUUCUAUUAAAGCAUAAAGAAAGGGUCUUAGUUAAAAUUCUUUCAGUUGUAAGUGAAAAAAACUUAAUCCAAUUGGCUUAAGAAAAAGAAGAACUUAAUGUAUCAUAUCAUGGAAACGUCUAUAGGAGAACUGACUAAGCUUGAGGCAGGAGCUCAAAUGAUGCCAUCAGGACCCUCUUCAUCUAUUUCUACUUCUGUCUUUAUGCCAGUGCCAGUAAUGACAGUGAUGGUUACACAUGGUAUAGCAGCUCCAGAUUUUACAUCCUCACAACUUCAAGGCCAAU